GCGGCCACUCUUCUCCUGGUACGGCCUUGUCUGGUUGCUCCCCCAGAGCACUGCUGGUUCGGGCGUGUUCGGCCACCCUCCUGAGGAAGCGGACGUCCUCCGGGCACAUCCCCACGGGCAGCAAAGCGCCUCCAGGCCCGGGUGAGUAGCGCGCGCGCCCAGUCCGGGCAUCCCGCGGCGGCGGCCGGCGCUCCCCGGGAAAUCGUCCCGGGAAGGACGCUCCUGUCACUGCCCCUGCAGGCUUCCCUGUCUUGUUUCAUUAAAGGAGAAAUUCUUCAGAAGCCUCGGGUAUUGUUUCGGUCGCCCCAAAGAGACGCCUUGAGUCCCAAAGAGGCACUUUUAGUCACACAGUCCCGCAGCCUGGACGGGAGCCUCUCGGAUAAACUGAGCAGCGCAAACCCGGUUUGACGCCCUGCCCUCAGGCUGGGCCGCGCGCACGCACACCUCGAGGCGGUGUGGGCACGGGGCGUGCGUGGCGCCCAACGCCGAGCUUCAUCGAAUGAACCGACGGCCCCGAACUCAGCAACCUGCUAACCACUUUGAAAUGAGGGUGACUCUAAUUUCACAAAACCCUGUAACAGGAAAGCGUGCCCUUUACAUGAGCAAACGCAGGACGACAAAGUUACCAGAUACACCCUACACCCCGUCCCGUGUUGCAGACGGCAGCAUGACACUUCUCAGCACCUCGGUUUCCUCACCUCACGACAUAUCCUGAAGAGGAUUCCCUUUCUACAGCUAAAGAGUGUUCCACUGUGUGAAUGUUCGGGUCAUGAUUUCGCUCCUCGGAGGAGCAGUUGGACGACUCGUCUGAACGAUAGGGCAGCGAGCGCACGGCCGUUCCUCAACCGCGUGUGGAAACGCCCACUGGCUGAGGGAGGAUGGGUAAGGACUCCGAUCCCCGCCCCAAGCCGUCUCUGAGGAACUGAGUUCCCAAACAACAAAGUCCGCGGCCUAGAAGGGCCGGAAGUACUUGAGGAUGCUCAACGGGACCCGCCCCUCCGCUUCCGGAAUCGGCUGUGGGGAGUCCCUGGUGCAGUCCUCCGUGUUCGGUUAGUAGAAUGGCGCCGGGCCGACGCGGUCACGGCACCGAGAGCGGACGGCCGCUAAGCGCUUCUGCCGUUCCCCGAAGUUUGCCUCCAGUGGCGGGGGAUGGGGGAGGCCGGUUCUUCCAGGUCGUCCGCGUUCCCUGCUCCUUCAUAUUACAGAGACGUGGGCCUCCGUCGUUCUAGCCCUCCCGCCCUGUUCCCGUGUGCCUGCUAGAGCGUCUCCUCGCCGUUUCCUGUUGCCCAGGGGCCCGGGAGGAAAGAAGGGGGCGUAGCGCUACCGCGGAGGGAACUCGCGAGCUUAGGAGACUCGCAGACACCGGAAGUGUUGGAAGGAAGACCGGAAGUGAGGGGGUGGAGCCAGGAAGUGAGGAGGGGCGGGGGUUUAUGAGGAGGCCAAGGGAGCGUUGGGACAGAUUUGCACUCAGGGCCACCUGAGGGACUUGGCUAUAGCGCUGAGCUCUGUCCCCUCUACUCGCAGAGACACGGUUGUCGUCUAGGAGUAGGGAACUCUGUGUGGAGGGGUGGGUUGUCGGGAGGACCUUCCUCUGUCUGCGCUUGAGGCAAGGUGUGGAGAGGCGGGGUGGGGGUGGGGCCGGGUCGUCAGGGCGUCUGAGAGGGAAGACCCCCGCCCCCCGCCCCCCCCACCGCCCAUCUACACUGGCUGACUGGACACUAAGAUGGCUGCCGUUGCCAUGGCACCCAACCCUGUGCAGACCCUUCAGGAGGAGGCGGUGUGCGCCAUCUGCCUCGAUUACUUCACGGACCCCGUGUCCAUCGGCUGCGGGCACAACUUCUGCCGAGUGUGUGUAACCCAGUUGUGGGGAGGGGAGGAUGAGGAGGACAGAGAGGAGUUGGACCGGGAGGAGGAAGAGGAGGACGGAGAGGAGGAGGAAGUGGAGGCUGUGGGGGCCGGUGGGGGGUGGGACACCCCCAUGCGGGAUGAAGACUAUGAGGGCGACAUGGAGGAGGAGGUCGAGGAGGAAGAGGAGGGUGUAUUCUGGACCAGUGGCAUGGGAGGGUCCAACUGGGACAACAUGGACUACGUGUGGGAGGAGGAGGACGAGGAGGAAGAUUUGGACUACUACUUGGGGGACAUGGAGGAGGACCUGAGAGGGGAGGAUGAGGAGGACGAGGAGGAAGUGCUGGAGGAGGACGAGGAAGAAGAGCUAGAUCCCGUCACCCCACUGCCCCCGCCUCCAGCCCCUCGGAGGUGCUUCACCUGCCCCCAGUGCCGAAAGAGCUUUCCCAGGCGGAGUUUCCGCCCCAACCUGCAGCUGGCCAACAUGGUCCAGGUGAUUCGGCAGAUGCACCCAACUCCGGGUCGAGGGAGCCGUGGGAGCGAGCAGGGCAUUUGUCCCAAACACCAGGAAGCCCUGAAGCUCUUCUGCGAGGUGGAUGAAGAGGCCAUCUGUGUGGUGUGCCGAGAAUCCAGGAGCCACAAACAGCACAGCGUGGUGCCGUUGGAGGAGGUGGUGCAGGAGUAUAAGGCCAAACUGCAGGGGCACGUGGAACCACUGAGGAAGCACCUAGAGGCUGUGCAGAAGAUGAAGGCCAAGGAGGAGAGGCGGGUGACAGAGCUGAAGGUGGUAUCCACCAUCCCCUUUGCAUCAUCCCAGAGCCAGAUGAAGUCAGAGCUGGCAGCUGUGGCCUCGGAGUUCGGGCGGCUGACACGGUUUCUGGCUGAAGAGCAGGCAGGGUUGGAGCGGCGCCUCCGAGAGAUGCAUGAAGCCCAGCUAGGGCGUGCAGGAGCAGCAGCCAGCCGCCUGGCAGAGCAGGCUGCCCAGCUGAGCCGCCUGCUGGCUGAGGCCCAGGAGCGGAGCCAGCAGGGGGGCCUGCGGCUGCUCCAGGACAUCAAGGAGACUUUCAAUAGGUGUGAAGAGGUACAGCUGCAGCCCCCAGAGGUCUGGUCCCCUGACCCGUGUCAACCCCAUAGCCAUGACUUCUUGACAGAUGCCAUCGUGAGGAAAAUGAGCCGGAUGUUCUGUCAGGCUGCCCGAGUGGACCUGACGCUGGACCCUGACACGGCUCACCCAGCUCUGAUGCUGUCCCCUGACCGCCGGGGGGUCCGCCUGGCAGAGCGGCGGCAGGAGGUUGCUGACCAUUCCAAGCGCUUCUCAGCCGACUGCUGCGUAUUGGGGGCCCAAGGCUUCCGCUCUGGCCGGCACUACUGGGAGGUAGAGGUGGGCGGGCGGCGGGGCUGGGCGGUGGGCGCUGCCCGUGAAUCGACCCAUCAUAAGGAGAAGGUGGGCUCUGGGGGGUCCUCUGUGGGCAGCGGGGAUGCCAGCUCCUCACGCCAUCACCAUCGCCGCCGCCGGCUCCACCUACCCCAACAGCCCCUGCUCCAGAGGGAAGUGUGGUGUGUGGGCACCAACGGGAAACGCUACCAGGCACAGAGCUCAACGGAGCAGACACUGCUGAGCCCAAGUGAGAAACCACGGCGCUUUGGCGUGUACCUGGACUAUGAGGCUGGGCGCCUGGGCUUCUACAAUGCGGAGACUCUAGCCCACGUGCAUACCUUCUCGGCUGCUUUCCUGGGCGAGCGUGUCUUCCCUUUCUUUCGGGUGCUCUCCAAGGGCACCCGCAUCAAGCUCUGCCCUUGAUUAGCCUGCCACCCGCAGGGGCCCCUCUGGUUAGCACUUGGGGGGCGGGUGGUGGUGGAGGGUGGCCCAUAAGUUUGGGGGCUCAAAGGCUCCUUCCACUGUUUGUUGCUUCCUGCUCCCCUUUGACCCAGGCCUGCUUCUCCCUCUAGGAGCCUAAAAGAACCCUCCUGGCCUGCAGCUCAGCCUUCUCUCACCUGCAAUGUCUGUCCAACAGCACUCAAACUAGGAGUAAAGCUCACCC